rnacentral:rRNA from 1 species
UGGGGGAUAUUGCACAAUGGGCGCAAGCCUGAUGCAGCGACGCCGCGUGGGGGAUGAAGGCCUUCGGGUUGUAAACUUCUUUUGCUCUGAACAAGGCGCACUUUGGGGUGUGUUGAGUGUAGGGGUUGAUUAGCGCCGGCUAACUACGUGCCAGCAGCCGCGGUAAUACGUAGGGCGCGAGCGUUGUCCGGAAUUAUUGGGCGUAAAGGGCUUGUAGGUGGCUGGUUGCGUCUGUCGUGAAAGCUCAUGGCUUAACUGUGGGUUUGCGGUGGGUACGGGCUGGCUGGAGUGCAGUAGGGGAGGCUGGAAUUCCUGGUGUAGCGGUGGAAUGCGCAGAUAUCAGGAGGAAUACCGGUGGCGAAGGCGGGUCUCUGGGCUGUUACUGACACUGAGGAGCGAAAGCAUGGGGAGCGAACAGG